rnacentral:rRNA from 1 species
UACAGGGGGUGCAAACGUUGCUCGGAAUCAUUGGGCGUAAAGCGCACGUAGGUGGUCUGUUAUGUCGGAUGUGAAAGCCCUCGGCUCAACUGAGGAAGUGCAUCCGAAACUGGCAGGCUUGAGUAUGUAAGAAGGUCGCGGAAUUCCCGGUGUAGAGGUGAAAUUCGUAGAUAUCGGGAGGAACACCGGUGGCGAAGGCGGCGACCUGGGACAAUACUGACACUGAGGUGCGAAAGCGUGGGGAGCAAACAGG